rnacentral:rRNA from 1 species
UACGAAGGGUGCAAACGUUGCUCGGAAUUAUUGGGCGUAAAGAGCUCGUAGGCGGCUUGUCGCGUCGUCCGUGAAAACCUGCGGCUCAACUGCAGGCUGGCGGUCGAUACGGGCAGGCUGGAGUUCGGUAGGGGAGACUGGAAUUCCUGGUGUAGCGGUGAAAUGCGCAGAUAUCUGGAGGAACACCGAUUGCGAAGGCAGCUCGCUGGAACGUAACUGACGCUGAGACGCGAAAGCGUGGGGAGCAAACAGG